rnacentral:lncRNA from 1 species
CCCUGUCAAAUUUGCUCUAAAUGCUUUGGUUUUAAAGAUAUAAGCCAAAAUAUACAUUUUACCCCUGUGUUCUAUUUUAGUAAUGGCGGCCAUCUUGGUUUGAUGGCCAGGUCAUCGGACACAUUUUUAAAACUACGGUAGAUACCCCAAGGAUGAUUGUGGCCAAGUUUGGUUAAAUUUGGCCCAGUAGUUUCAGAGGAGAAGAUUUAUGGAUGACUAACGCAGGACGAC